rnacentral:pre_miRNA from 1 species
CAAAUACCCCCUCCGUCCGGAAAUACUUGUCAUCAAAAUGGAUAAAAGGAAAUGUAUCUAGACGUAUUUUAGUUUUAGAUACAUCUAUUUUUAUCCAUUUUGAUGACAAGUAUUUUCGGACGGAGGGAGUAGAAA